AUGCUCGCUCUGGCAGCACAUGUACUAAACAUUCUAACAACACAGAGAAGAUGAGCACAGUCCCUGUGCAAUGAUGACAUGCAAAUUUGUGAAGCAUUCCAUGCUUUA
ensembl:snRNA U6 U6 spliceosomal RNA